rnacentral:rRNA from 1 species
CCUACGGGAGGCAGCAGUGGGGAAUAUUGCACAAUGGGGGAAACCCUGAUGCAGCGACGCCGCGUGAGUGAAGAAGUAAUUCGUUAUGUAAAGCUCUAUCAGCAGGGAAGAAAAUGACGGUACCUGAGUAUGAAGCCCCGGCUAACUACGUGCCAGCAGCCGCGGUAAUACGUAGGGGGCAAGCGUUAUCCGGAUUUACUGGGUGUAAAGGGAGCGUAGACGGCAGUGCAAGUCUGGAGUGAAAGGCGGGGGCGCAACCCCCGGACUGCUCUGGAAACUGUACGGCUGGAGUGCAGGAGAGGUAAGUGGAAUUCCUAGUGUAGCGGUGAAAUGCGUAGAUAUUAGGAGGAACACCAGUGGCGAAGGCGGCUUACUGGACUGUAACUGACGUUGAGGCUCGAAAGCGUGGGGAGCAAACAGGAUUAGAUACCCGAGUAGUC